rnacentral:tRNA from 1 species
GGCUCUGUGGUGUAUAACAUAUCAGAUUGCAAAUCUGAUGAUGCAGGCGAAGGCCUGCCGGAUCCU